CUAAAUAGGAUCCCCACAGNUAAUGGCGAAUGAACCGGGAUGAGCUCAGCAUGGAAAUUGGGGCCUAUGGCUUCGACUUGUAAUCUGGUGUGGCGUUGCCAACAGAGGCGCAGAUGUAAGUCUUUUGGAAAAGAGCAUCAACGAUGGUGAGAGUCCUGCUUGACAUUUGCAGCCCCCCCCCCCCCAUCCCCCUCUGUGCACGGUGUGCUGUCUAAGAGUCACGUUCCUCGAGAUUGGAGCGCAAAUUGGGUGGUAACUUUCAUCUGAAGCUAAACAAUGGUUUGGGACUGAUAGGAAACAAGUACCAUGAGGGAAAGGUGAAAAGGACUUUGGAAAGAGAGUUAAAAGUGCCUGAAAUUGCUGAAAGGGAAGCGAAUGGAACCAGCUGUGUUGGGGUGAGAUUGUUGCAUGCUGCACGGAUUGGUUGCUGUGGUGAUGCAAAUAGUUUGGCAAUUACUGACGUGUUAGUGUGUGGUGUGUCUUGGCCUGCAUGUCAUCGUUGGUUUUGCAUUAAGACAAUUCAAAAUGUAUGCCAAUGUGCUUUUGAACAUAUGAACAUGUUUUGUUGUGUGUAUGUAUUAACUUGUGAAAACUGUUUGGCUGUAAGCUUUACUAUUGUGACACUUGUGUUUUGAUGAAUGCACAACUUGUCUGCACAGACAUUGACUCAAUGGUCUUCGCCG
rnacentral:rRNA from 1 species